GCUGCUACGGUUUCUGAGAUAUAAUGAUUUUAAUUAUUACGGCCUACGCUGUAUAACACCAGUGUCUGUGGCAGUGAGUUUCAGCAGCUGUGGAAUUUUGCACUUUUAUAGAAGACUGUCCACUUUUUCUAGGCUUGCUGCAUAUUAACUUUAAUUAGUUUACACUUUAGUAACACAAUUUAUUCAGCGGAAAGGUCGAUAUGUCUUUUGUUACCAGUGCAGAAACGUACACAAGGUUGUUACCUACGUGUAGAAAACUGAAUAUUCCACAGCACCUAGGCCAGGAAUGUUCAACCUGCGGCUCUAAAGCCACAUGUGGCUCUCCGGCCCCUCCACUGUGGCUCUUAUAAGACCAAAUGCUCCUGUCACUCCAUUUCCCAGGUCAUCAUAGCACUCCCACACACACGGAGCUCUCCUGCAGUAUGCAGUGUAAUGGCCCAAACCACCAGUGGUCAUCUUUCCAUGGAAAGCAAUUAAUGCCCUCAAAGUGAACGAUUUUCCUUGGAGAACCAGGUUGGAGGGAAAUUCGUUCAGGGGAAAUUCUGUUUGGUUUGCAAGAGAUGGAUUGGAGAGUGGCCUGAGGCAGGUAGACUCAGGUAGGCCAAGUCCUGCUUCCACAGCCGUGCCAAGAUGAGCCAUACCAGACUCUUUGAGGACAGAGAUGGCAGGAGAAACAAAUGGCACUUCCCUUGUCAUCCCUUUGCUGAGGUAGCAGUGCUGUGAAGAGCAGUGUUUGGUUUGUUGGGUCACACCAUCUGUGGCAAUGGCUUUCACCAGCUGCAGGACUGGGUUUUCACUGUCUUUCAGAACAGCAUUUUGAAAUGUUGAGCUGUCACAGAAGGCACAACAUAAGCACUGAAAAAAUGCAUCAAAAGCACAGUUUCAUCUGCAUGGAGCCAUUCGGUACAUGAAGAGUGUCACAGUCUGGCGGGAGCAGACUGUAUGAAUUGAAAAAAGGACCCAAAUGCAGACUCCAAGGAACAGGGAGCAAAACGUGAAUGAUAACAAAAAGAGAGCCGUUUAAUGAGGCUGGUAAAAGGUACAAACAAAAGGCAAGGCAAACUGAAGCAAAAUUAACACAAACCUAAACUGGGAAAUCUAAACAAACAAUAAGAAAAACCUAGACAAGAAACUUGGAGGCGAGGCAUGGCAUGGCAAACAUGGCGUGGACAACAGACGACCUGACAAGGGCC